rnacentral:rRNA from 1 species
UUCGGGAACUGGAGCACAGGUGCUGCAUGGCUGUCGUCAGCUCGUGUCGUGAGAUGUUGGGUUAAGUCCCGCAACGAGCGCAACCCUCGCCUUUAGUUACCAUCAUUUAGUUGGGGACUCUAAAGGAACCGCCGGUGAUAAGCCGGAGGAAGGUGGGGAUGACGUCAAGUCCUCAUGGCCCUUACGCGCUGGGCUACACACGUGCUACAAUGGCGGUGACAGUGGGCAGCAAUCCUGCAAGGGUGAGCUAAUCUCCAAAAGCCGUCUCAGUUCGGAUUGCACUCUGCAACUCGAGUGCAUGAAGGCGGAAUCGCUAGUAAUCGCGGAUCAGCAUGCCGCGGUGAAUACGUUCCCAGGCCUUGUACACACCGCCCGUCACACCAUGGGAGUUGGGUUCACCCGAAGGCGUUGCGCUAACUCAGCAAUGAGAGGCAGGCGACCA